rnacentral:rRNA from 1 species
UACGGAGGGGGCUAGCGUUAUUCGGAAUUACUGGGCGUAAAGCGCACGUAGGCGGACCAUCAAGUUGGGGGUGAAAUCCCAGGGCUCAACCCUGGAACUGCCUUCAAAACUGCUGGUCUUGAGGUCGUGAGAGGUGAGUGGAAUUCCGAGUGUAGAGGUGAAAUUCGUAGAUAUUCGGAGGAACACCAGUGGCGAAGGCGGCUCACUGGCACGAUACUGACGCUGAGGUGCGAAAGCGUGGGGAGCAAACAGG